rnacentral:lncRNA from 1 species
UGAUAUAUCGAAAGAUAACUGUGUGUCGAAACAUAACUGUGAACUGAAAGAUAACUGUUGUAGUCGAAGGAUAGCUAGCAUAGUCGAAAGGUGACAUAUGGUUCGGAACAUAACAUUUGAUUCGAAAGAUAACUGUGAUAACUGUUAGAUCGAAGGAUAACUGUGAACCGAAAGAUAUUAUGGAUUAUGAACAUACUUUGAAUGAUGGAAUGUGUGCUUGACUAAAUGAGUAUGCCAUGCCUAGUGAUGAAUGUUGACACUUGUAUUCGUGUUCACUAGCUGAUGAUUAAAUGUGAAAUGAUACGUGUUGGGCUCGUAUGCAAACUGAUUGUUAUGUGUAACUAUCAUAGGGUUUGGUAAAUCACCGUUGUGAAACGAGUAAUUAAUCCUACCGAGCAAACCAAGGUGAGUUCACUACAUUCGAGCAUGCGUCCCAGUGGUUGGGGACAGUCAAUGGGUCCUUAGGUACUUGGAACGCAGGAACUUGCUGGCUGGAGGGUGCGAGUG